rnacentral:rRNA from 1 species
GAGGGAUAUUGGUCAAGGGGCGCAAGCCUGAACCAGCGACGCCGCGUGGGUGAAGAAGGUCUUCGGAUCGUAAAGCCCUUUUCCCACUGAAGAGGAAGGACGGUAGGUGGGGAAGAAGUCUCGGCUAACUACGUGCCAGCAGCCACGGUAAAACGUAGGAGACAAGCGUUAUCCGGAGUUACUGGGCGUAAAGGGCGUGCAGGUGGCGUCUUAAGUCUGUUGUGAAAGCGCCUGGCUUAACCGGGCGAGGCCAAUGGAGACUGAGAGGCUGGAGGACGGCGGAGGGGUGUGGAAUUCCGGGUGUAGUGUUGAAAUGCGUAGAGAUCCGGAGGAACACCAGAGGCGAAGGCGGCACUCUAAGCCGUACCUGACACUGAGACGCGACAGCACGGGGAGCAAACG